GCUACACAUGCAGUCGAGCGGUAACAGAAAGUAGCUUGCUACUUUGCUGACGAGCGGCGGACGGGUGAGUAAUGCUUGGGAACAUGCCUUGAGGUGGGGGACAACAGUUGGAAACGACUGCUAAUACCGCAUAAUGUCUACGGACCAAAGGGGGCUUCGGCUCUCGCCUUUAGAUUGGCCCAAGUGGGAUUAGCUAGUUGGUGAGGUAAUGGCUCACCAAGGCAACGAUCCCUAGCUGGUUUGAGAGGAUGAUCAGCCACACUGGAACUGAGACACGGUCCANACUCNUACGGGAGGCAGCAGUGGGGAAUAUUGCACAAUGGGCGAAAGCCUGAUGCAGCCAUGCCGCGUGUGUGAAGAAGGCCUUCGGGUUGUAAAGCACUUUCAGUCAGGAGGAAAGGGUGUGAGUUAAUACCUCACAUCUGUGACGUUACUGACAGAAGAAGCACCGGCUAACUCCGUGCCAGCMGCCGCGGUAAUACGGAGGGUGCGAGCGUUAAUCGGAAUUACUGGGCGUAAAGCGUACGCAGGCGGUUUGUUAAGCGAGAUGUGAAAGCCCCGGGCUCAACCUGGGAACUG
rnacentral:rRNA from 1 species